GUCUUUUUGAUAAUAAUUUAAAGUCUAGCCUGCCCGAUGAUGAAUUGAAUGGCCGCGGUAUUUUGACCGUGCUAAGGUAGCAUAAUCAAUAGUUUUUUAAUUGAAAGCUGGAAUGAAGGGUUGGAUAAAAAAAUAACUGUCUUUAUUUAAUUUAAUUAGAAUUUUAUAUUUAAGUUAAAAAGCUUAAAUUUUAUUAAAAGACGAGAAGACCCUAUAGAGUUUAAUAAAUAGUUAUAUUAUUAUAUUUAGAAUUAAUUUUAUUAAUUAUAUUAUUUAUUUAAUUGGGGUGAUUUAAAAAUUAGAUUAACUUUUUUUGUAUUUAAACAUUUUUAAAUGAAUAUUUGAUCCAUAUAUAAUGAUUAUAAGAUAAAAUUACCUUAGGGAUAACAGCGUUAUUUUUUUUUAGAGUUCAAAUCGAAAGAAAAGAUUGCGACCUCGAUGUUGGAUUAAAAUUAAUUUUUGGUGUAGAAGCUAAAACAUUAGGUCUGUUCGACCUUUAAAAUUUUACA
rnacentral:rRNA from 1 species